rnacentral:lncRNA from 1 species
GGCUGUGAAGAAUUGGAUGCAUACACCAAGUAACAUAUAACAUAAGAAUCAAAAUACAAGUGCAUUCUCCUCAGCAAAGUAGCAAACUGAGUUUAACAACCAACAACAUCAUCCUUCUGCCCUAGUUGACUAAUGUACUGCAAGUAACACUUUAGAAAUAGUAUCGGGUUAAACAAGAAGCCGUCAAGUUUUUUAUCCAUACAAAUAAAAUAUGUCUACAUUUGGUCGCAAGCUACUCUACAAAAAGUAAAGGACCGCGAGCACUUUAAUCAUAUGGAGAUGCGUCAAAGUAAUUGAAAGAGAGUGGAAUCGCGUCCAAGAAGAUACUUUUGGCGUUAGAGCACUACCGAUGCCUGACAUUUUUUUGUUCUUAAAGGAGCAGAUGCGGCAUCAGAAUCGCCUGCUCCACCAGCAUUUUGGAUUCUUUAAUAAGCAAAGAAAAUGUUGACUGGCGUUGCAGCCGGAACCAAGGCCGUGUUUAGUUUGGCGAAUUUGGGGGUGCUAAAUUACUGUUACAGCACUGUAGCACACUGUAGCGUUUCGUUUGUAUUUGUGAAUUAUUGUCCAAAUAUUGACUAAUUAGGCUCAAAAGAUUCGUCUCGCAAAGUACAACAAAACUGUGCAAUUAGUUUUUAAUUUCAUCUACAUUUAGUACUCCAUGCAUGUACCGCAAGUUUGAUGUGAUGGGGAAUCUUCUUUUUGCAUAGUGUCAAAGUUGGGAGUUGGGAGUAACUAAACAUGGCCCAAAAGCAAUGACGCUGGCGUACCGUCAGAGGUUCGGUGGGGCCCUCACCUGCUUGAGCGAGGCGAGGAACGUGAUCCCCCCGCACUGCAGCGGCGGCCGCACCAUGGCGACGGCUGC